AGUGAACGCUGGCGGUAGGCCUAACACAUGCAAGUCGAACGGCAGCACAGUAAGAGCUUGCUCUUACGGGUGGCGAGUGGCGGACGGGUGAGGAAUACAUCGGAAUCUACUUUUUCGUGGGGGAUAACGUAGGGAAACUUACGCUAAUACCGCAUACGACCUACGGGUGAAAGCAGGGGAUCUUCGGACCUUGCGCGAUUGAAUGAGCCGAUGUCGGAUUAGCUAGUUGGCGGGGUAAAGGCCCACCAAGGCGACGAUCCGUAGCUGGUCUGAGAGGAUGGAUAGGCACCACGGAACUGAAGAAACGGCCAGAAUCCUACGGGGAGGAGGCGUGGGGAAUAUUUGGCAAUGGGCGGAAAGCUUAUCCAAGCCUACCGGGGGGGGUGAGGAAGGCUUCCGGGUUGAAAGCCCUUUUUUUUGGGAAAAAAAACAAGAAGGUUAAAACCCGGUUGUUCGACCGUAACCAAAAGAUUAGGCCCCGGUAACUUCGGU
rnacentral:rRNA from 1 species